UACGUAGGUGGCAAGCGUUGUCCGGAUUUACUGGGCGUAAAGAGCGCGCAGGCGGUCGAAUAAGUCGAAUGUGAAAGCUCCCGGCUCAACUGGGAGAGGUCCUUGCAUACUGGCGAACUCGAGGGAGGCAGAGGAAAGUGGAAUUCCCGGUGUAGUGGUGAUAUGCGUAGAUAUCGGGAGGAACACCUGUGGCGAAGGCGGCUUUCUGGGCCUUACCUGACGCUGAGACGCGAAAGCGUGGGGAGCGAACCGG
rnacentral:rRNA from 1 species